rnacentral:lncRNA from 1 species
GAUCACCACUUACUCAUACAACAAGUAGCAAAAUUCAUAUUGUACUGCUCUUAAAGUCAGAGUGACUGGACUCUAGGGCUUGGAGCAACCACUUUUCUGUGCAGCUAUGAAGAAAUCAGGGGUCCAUUCCAACUAAAAACUCGUGAAGAACUCAAAGAAAAAAUUUACACCUCCCCCCUUUUCAGGUAUGUCCAAAGGAAGAGAUGAAUUAAAGCCCCCCAAGGAGAUAAUACUCAGAAACGAUUGAGGGCAUUCACCAGCCAGACAGUCACAGAGUUCAUCAUGGCAGGGUAUCAGCCAGUACGGCAAAAGGAAGAGGUCCCCACUUGCCACCUGCCUCAUCAGAUCCAGGUCUAGCCCUGAUCUUCGCCCCUGGUCAGCAGGAAGAAGCUCCAGAAGAAGAGACCUUCGCCCAACUAUCAUAAAACAAAAGCCUGGAAUGAUAGGUCUCCCACCACCUCAGCAGCUAUUAUGUAUAGUUGCUGCCCUCUUCCUAUGGUGCCUUGCCCCUUCCCCUGUGUGACGUCAUGCCAAGAUGGUUGCUCCCACCAAAGAACAAACCCUUCUUCCCAGCAUGCCCCUGUUCCCACCUAGAGAGUAACCUAAUACUCACUCACCUCCUACCACCUAGUGACAUCACCG